UGACGUUUUUGAGUUCUAUGAUUGGUCAAUAACAGAGCGCGGAUUUUUCCAUGGACGAUUUGAAUGUUUGGAUGUUGAAAGUGUUGAUAGAAAAAAAGGAGAUAAAACCAGUUGCAGAAUAUUGGUACAUGAUGUUUCCAUGAGCUGAAUCUGUCCUGACCUGGAGUACAUGAAAUUCUUCACAAUAUUACUUGUUUAAGAAUUGAAGAAAAGGUUAAAAUUGCAAGCAUAUUUCAACGAAAACUUAGCCGAAUACCAGUCACACUGCCCACCAGCCAAGACGUCUGACCAGCUAAAAUGAGGGACGCAGUCCACCAGCCAAGUCCCUCGGCCAGCUCGGCUGACCCAGUGCGGCCUGUCAAGGGAUGACCAAGUCCAUCAACUAGCUCGGCUGACUACCAGUGCAGCCUGUCAAGUCCUUCAACUAACUUGGCCUAUUACCAGUGCGGCCUGUCAUUGAACAACCAAGUCCAUCAACUAGAUUGGCUUACUACCAGAGCGGCUUUAAAAGGGAUGGUCAAGUUCGUCAACUAACUUAACCUACUACCAGUGCCGCAUGUCAAGAAAUGGCCAAGUUCGUCAACUAGCUCGGCUUACUACCAGUACGGCCUGUCAAUAUAGGGACGGUUAAGACCGUUGACUAACUUGGCCUUCUACCAGUGCGGCUUGUCAAGGGACGUUUAAGUCCGUCAACUAACUUGACCAACUACAGAUGCGACCUGUCAAUGGAUGGCCAAGUCCGUCAACUAUCUUGACCAACUACCAGUGCGGCCUGUCAAACGAUGGCCAAGUCCUUCAACUAACUUGGUCUACUACCAGUGUGGCCUGUCAAACGAUGGCCAAGUCCUUCAACUAACUUGGCCUACUACCAGUGUGGCCUGUCAAACGAUGGCCAAGUCCUUCAACUAACUUGGUCUACUACCAGUGCGGCCUGUCAAACGAUGGCCAAGUCCUUCAACUAACUUGGUCUACUACCAGUGCGGCCUGUCAAACGAUGGCCAAGUCCUUCAACUAACUUGGUCUACUACCAGUGCGGCCUGUCAAACGAUGGCUAAGUCUGUCAGCUAACUCAGCCAACUUUCAGUGCAGCCUAUCUUCAAAUAAUAAAGAUAAACAACUGUACACCUGCAAGGAUACCUGUGCAAGGAGGGUGGUAUGCAGCUAGAAACUGUGACUGAAAUCACUGUUUAUAGAACCUUUCUUUUUUUUUUUUGAAAUACAGCUAGAUCAAAAAUAAA